GUAUAAUACUUUAAAAAAAAGAUUAAAUUUGCAAUUUAAAAUUAGGUUAUGCCUUUAUACU
rnacentral:tRNA from 1 species